rnacentral:rRNA from 1 species
CGUGAGUAACCUGCCUUGGAGUGGGGAAUAACACAGUGAAAACUGUGCUAAUACCGCAUAAUGCAUUUGGGUCGCAUGAUUCUGAAUGCCAAAGAUUUAUCGCUCUGAGAUGGACUCGCGUCUGAUUAGCUAGUUGGCGGGGUAACGGCCCACCAAGGCGACGAUCAGUGGCCGGACUGAGAGGUUGGCCGGCCACAUUGGGACUGAGACACGGCCCAG